UUUGAAUUGCAUGGCUAAAUCAACGCCAGAGACCGAAGCUGGGCAGGAGCAGCUUUAUCACUAUCUAUCGUAUGGCUGGCUUUGUGGUGGAAUCGUUGAGCACGCGACGGGGAAGAAAUUCCAAGAGAUUCUUGAAGAAGCCAUAAUUAACCCGCUCCAUGUAGAAGGCGAGCUAUACAUUGGAAUCCCUCCUGGAGUUGAAACUCGUCUUGCAACACUAACACCAAAUCUUGAUGAUCUCCAAAAGUUCUCUGGGAUCAAUCGUUCUGACUUG
rnacentral:misc_RNA from 1 species